AGAACGAACGCUGGCGGCAUGCCUAAUACAUGCAAGUCGAACGAACUCUUCGGAGUUAGUGGCGCACGGGUGCGUAACGCGCGGGAAUCUGCCCCUUGGUUCGGAAUAACAGUUGGAAACGACUACUAAUACCGGAUGAUGACGAAAGUCCAAAGAUUUAUCGCCCAGGGAUGAGCCCGCGUAGGAUUAGCUAGUUGGUGAGGUAAAGGCUCACCAAGGCUACGAUCCUUAGCUGGUCUGAGAGGAUGAUCAGCCACACUGGGACUGAGACACGGCCCAGACUCCUACGGGAGGCAGCAGUAGGGAAUAUUGGACAAUGGGGGCAACCCUGAUCCAGCAAUGCCGCGUGAGUGAUGAAGGCCUUAGGUUGUAAAGCUCUUUACCCGAGAUGAUAAUGACAGUAUCGGAGAAUAAGCUCCGGCUAACUCCGUGCCAGCAGCCGC
rnacentral:rRNA from 1 species